UGGGGAAUCUUGGGCAAUGGGGGAAACCCUGACCCAGCGACGCCGCGUGAAGGAAGACGGCCUUCGGGUUGUAAACUUCUGUGACAGGGGACGAAAAAAAUGACGGUACCCUGAGAGGAAGCCCCGGCUAACUACGUGCCAGCAGCCGCGGUAAUACGUAGGGGGCGAGCGUUGUCCGGAAUUACUGGGCGUAAAGGGCGCGUAGGCGGCCGAUCAAGUCUGUUGUGAAAGCCCAGCGCUUAACGUUGGACGUGCAAUGGAAACUGGUUGGCUAGAGUAUGGUAGAGGCAAGUGGAAUUCCCAGUGUAGCGGUGAAAUGCACAGAGAUUGGGAGGAACACCAGUGGCGAAGGCGACUUGCUGGGCCAAAACUGACGCUGAGGCGCGAAAGCGUGGGGAGCAAACA
rnacentral:rRNA from 1 species